AGGUAUUGAAGUAAAAUAAUUACAUUUAGUUUCGACCUAGACUUAGAAACAAUUUUCCUUGCCUA
rnacentral:tRNA from 1 species